GGUAAUGUCUGGGAAACUGCCUGAUGGAGGGGGGUAACUACUGGAAACGGUAGCUAAUACCGCAUAAUGUCGCAAGACCAAAGAGGGGGACCUUCGGGCCUCUUGCCAUCGGAUGUGCCCAGAUGGGAUUAGCUAGUAGGUGGGGUAACGGCUCACCUAGGCGACGAUCCCUAGCUGGUCUGAGAGGAUGACCAGCCACACUGGAACUGAGACACGGUCCAG
rnacentral:rRNA from 1 species